AGAGUUUGAUCCUGGCUCAGAACGAACGCUGGCGGCAGGCCUAACACAUGCAAGUCGAACGCGAACGCUCCUUCGGGAGUUAUUAGAGUGGCGCACGGGUGAGUAACGCGUAGGAAUCUACCUGAUAGUGGGGAAUAACAGUUGGAAACGACUGCUAAUACCCCAUACGCCCUUCGGGGGAAAGUUUUAUCGCUAUCAGAUGAGCCUGCGUUAGAUUAGCUUGUUGGUGAGGUAAUGGCUCACCAAGGCUACGAUCUAUAGCUGGUCUGAGAGGAUGGCCAGCCACACUGGAACUGAGACACGGUCCAGACUCCUACGGGAGGCAGCAGUGAGGAAUAUUGCGCAAUGGGCGAAAGCCUGACGCAGCCAUGCCGCGUGAGUGAUUAAGGCCUUCGGGUUGUAAAACUCUUUCAGUAGGGAAGAUGAUGACGGUACCUACAGAAGAAGCCCCGGCUAACUUCGUGCCAGCAGCCGCGGUAAUACGAAGGGGGCUAGCGUUGUUCGGAAUCACUGGGCGUAAAGCGCGGGUAGGCGGUUCAAUAAGUCAGAUGUGAAAGCCCGGGGCUCAAUCUCGGAACUGCAUUUGAAACUGUUAGACUAGAGUAUGUUAGAGGCAAGUGGAAUUCCUAGUGUAGAGGUGAAAUUCGUAGAUAUUAGGAGGAACACCAGAAGCGAAGGCGACUUGCUGGGACAUAACUGACGCUGAACUGCGAAAGCGUGGGGAGCAAACAGGAUUAGAUACCCUGGUAGUCCACGCCGUAAACGAUGGAUGCUAGAUGUUGGGAGGUAACUUUCAGUGUCGUAGCUAACGCGUUAAGCAUCCCGCCUGGUGAGUACGGUCGCAAGAUUAAGACUCAAAGGAAUUGACGGGGACCCGCACAAGCGGUGGAGCAUGUGGUUUAAUUCGAGGCAACGCGAAGAACCUUACCAGCCCUUGACAUGCCUGUCGUGGAUUUCAGAGAUGAUUUCCUUCAGUUCGGCUGGACAGUGCACAGGUGGUGCAUGGCUGUCGUCAGCUCGUGUCGUGAGAUGUUGGGUUAAGUCCCGCAACGAGCGCAACCCUCACCCUUAUUUGCCAGCGGUUUUAGCCGGGAACUAUAGGGGAACUGCCUAGUUUAACUAGGAGGAAGGUGGGGAUGACGUCAAGUCAUCAUGCUCCUUAUGGGCUGGGCUACACACGUGCUACAAUGGCGGUGACAGUGGGAAGCAACCUCGCGAGGGGAAGCGGAUCUCCAAAAACCGUCUCAGUUCAGAUUGCAGGCUGCAACUCGCCUGCAUGAAGUCGGAAUCGCUAGUAAUCGCGUAUCAGCAUGACGCGGUGAAUACGUUCCCGGGUCUUGUACACACCGCCCGUCACACCAUGGGAGUUGGCUCUACCUUAAGCCGCCAGGCUAACCCUUCGGGGAGGCAGGUGACCACGGUAGUGUUAGCGGCUGGGGUGAAGUCGAAACAAGGUA
rnacentral:rRNA from 1 species